rnacentral:lncRNA from 1 species
UUGUGUUUCCUCCCAACAGGCAGCCAGGGUUUUAAGGAAAAGUGCCAGGUUGUCCCAGACUUUACAGGAUUACACAGGAUCCCAGGAUUACAUCUGAGAUCGUCAGAUAAAUGUAAAUGAAUGAAACAUCUGAAUUUAGAAGAAAUUGAGUGGGACGUGGGUAAAAAAACUCUGUAGGCUGCAUUAAAAAGCUGAAUCUGCAGCUCAAAUUCUUGGGUAUUCUCUCCUAGGUACACUGGUAAAUAUCUUGAGCAGCCCUGCCUGCAUCAAAGAUUUGUUUGGCUGUGCUCAGCUGUGGACUGAAAGGAGACAGCACAUCGGUUCCCAGUAAAGAGUUAAUCUUCGCUCAAGAUGAGGAUGGGCUGAUAAUACAUCUUUCUCUGAGAGCUGUGGUUUCAAAAAUUCAGCAGUUUCACUCCUGUGAUUUUGCAGUUUGUCUUCUGGAAGGGAUGUGUGGAAUAGAAACAAUGAAGAAGUAAGACCAAAGAAGACAGAAGCCCAGAGGCAAAAAAGACUCCAAACCUGCCUGCAGAGGAGCUUGACAGAGAAGAGGCUGUGCAUGGACAGUGGUACUGAUGACAAAUCCCCUUUGGUCCCUUUGGCUGUUCAGCCAUUAAUCUUUGGGAAAAGUGAGUGGCAGGAGCCUUUGCUGGAAGUGGCUGUGGGGCACAGCAAGCCUUGGCCAGGAGGAGCAGAAGAUAUUUUGCCGACUGAGUCAUGGUAUUAAAUGUGCUUUUUACAGUGAAAUUCAUUGUAAGAGUGAAGCAGGUCAUUGGUAUUUAAUCUGAACCAGAGUUGUGCAACUUCAAGUGACUCUGCAGGAGAUGGGUUCCCGUGAUAGGUUCCUCAUCCAGGGCUAUGAAGCUCUUCCAGGCCAAACAUGUCCUUGUGGUUGUGCCUUUUCUUUCAUUUCUUCUUGCUUACGUAGAAAACCUGUAUGUGUAACAAUUUGAAAGGCUUUUAAAAUUUCUUAAAUAAAAUUAUUCAUUGAUAAGUAAGUGCCUCA